UACGUAGGGGGCGAGCGUUGUCCGGAUUUAUUGGGCUUAAAGGGUGCGUAGGUGGGAAUGUAAGUCAGUGGUGAAAUCUCCGUGCUUAACAUGGAAACUGCCAUUGAUACUAUGUUUCUUGAAUCUUCCGGAGGUCAGCGGAAUAUGUCAUGUAGCGGUGAAAUGCUUGGAUAUGACAUAGAACACCAAUUGCGAAGGCAGCUGACUACAGGGGCAUUGACACUGAGGCACGAAAGCGUGGGGAUCAAACAGG
rnacentral:rRNA from 1 species